UUUGGCACUUUUGCUGUCUGAACAGGGUGCACAUCUGAAGUCCUGCUAACAUUAAUAUGUAAUGUGGAACUGGGACACAGGAAAAGAGCACACAGCUAGGAGUGUGUUUGGAUAUUCUUUGGAUUUACCUGCCUCAGUCCAACCACAUAGCAAACACAGAUGAAAUCCUACAAACACUUCAAACACUGAACAGAUGUGCGGGGGGGGGGGUUCUAUAAACCAUUUAAAAUCCAGUAGCACGCAGCAGAUGCAGAUUAGCAGCACUGAGGAAAUGUAUUUAAAGCCUUCUGUAGAUGGGUUUAAAUGGCGUUCCUGCAAUAUGCACAAACCAUCAAACAGAUGUGCAGUCCUCAGCAUACAAACCCUCGGUUCAUCUGUCAUUAAAAUACAUUUUCAUUGAAUCUGUGCAUUCAUCAGAUUUACAGCAUAAGAGUUGAAACAUGCUGAUCCAGAUGGGAAAAAGUAGUAGAAAUGUCAUGUCAGUGAGCUCUCUGAAUAUUUUCCUUGUGUAUAAUCUGAAGUAUACCUCACUUGCCUGGCUGCACCAAAUAACAAUAGCCUGUGCAAAUAUACUUUAGAAGGAUUACAUGGAAAGGAAUGAUAGGUUCACCAAUGACGCAACAGUGUGAAAAUGUCACCUGGAAACUGGGUCCAGCUGACUGUGAUACUGCAGCCCAGUGAAAGCAGGUUAAAGAUAAGGCUCCCCCCUCCAGGGCUGAGCGUGUCAACAGGGAGACAGCAGGUCUUGUAACAAGUGAGAUAAGCUGAUAAGGGCCCGUUUAAAAUGAUGACCUGACUCUGGCUAAGGUUACACAAAGGUUGAAUUACAGCCUACAAAGUUUUCUGAUGCAGAUCCAUUGUGUGAAGUGCUACUGAAAAGAGAAUGACCAGGUUUGGGUGCUGGCUUAAAAGGGAAACUGUUGAGAGGAAGACGUGACUAUGUAACAGAGCUCUGAGGUGAUCAAAAAUAAUCGACCACCUAAAAAUGGUCAAAGUGGAAAUAUGGGCUGAAUCAAUGGGUUAUUUUAUAUCACUUGAAAAACAAAAUUUUGCUGAGCAUACGCACUCUUUUGGUCCAAGAUGCAUUUUGGAGCUGUUCAGCACAACCACACUUUCUAUUUGUGGCUGGUGCUGAGUGUUCAGGCGAGAGCCAGGGAGUGAAGACCACCCCCCUCCCCAGAACUGAUAUUUCUGUUACAGUCUAGAGACUUGAACUGGCCACCCUCUGCCUACUUUAUCACAGGUAUGGGUUUAUUCACAGAUAUGAAUUACAUGUAGUCUUUCUGGUAAAAGGCAGUGACACACAGGCCAGCUUUUGGGAAACCUGGCAGCAGUGCUAAAGCAGUGGUUUCUGUGUUGCUGCUUCAGAGUGUGGUGUUGUUUCCAGGAGAGUGUCCAGGCAACCUGACCUGCAUGUCUUUGGCCUGAAAGAGGAAACCGGAGCAUCCAGAGGGAACACUGGAUAUUCACCACCUUUCCCUUUCAUUCAGACAGAUGGAUGGCCAAGUCUUAUUUUGUGGAGUUCCCCAAGAAAUCCAGCGCUGUGUCUCCUGUCAGCGUGAAGCCCAGUCUGGAGAUGACAUCACAGAAGCUUCAACUUGUUUUUUUCCUACAGUCUGCUGUAGCUAGCUACCAUUUACAUAAUUUCACCCAAUGACCACAGCCCACUUCCUCAUGGCCAGCUAAACAAGGUUAUCCAACAGGCUGUUUGUCCAAAUACACUGUGCCACAGAGACUGGGAGUACUAUCAAAAUCCACAACAGUAUAUUUAUCACUCUAUAUCUGAUACAUGUCAUAAAUUUAGACUCUGGUUCAGGGGGUACUCAAAUAUGAGUCUUAAAUUCCCACUUGCCAAAUGUCUCUACUCUUCCAGGUCCAGGAAGGAUGGAAAACACAGUGGGAGAAGUGCCUCCUACAUUGUGUUACAGACAGGCCUCGUUUGCAUCAGCUUGUUUUGAACAAGUCUUUUUUAAUUUAAGCUUUGAACUCUUAUUAACUCUGGCUACCGGCAGCAAUAAGAUGUGUGUGUGUGUGUGUGUGUGUGAGAGAGAGAUGACAUGAUAGCAGUCUGUCACUUGUAAGUGAUCUGAGACCAAAUGCACUGAAAUUUUGCUUCAGGUCCAAAUUAAAUUGUAUUUCAGUCAUGAUUUGGACCAGAGCUCGCCCCUCGAGUCCGUGGGCUUGUUAAAAGUCAGACACAAGUAUUGUGUUUCAGCUUUUCAGACCGAUGAGGGAAACGAUUAUGAGAAAGAGGAUGGCGCGGAAAGAACACUGGCUUCGUAAAAGCUUUAGCCCCGGUGAGACCAGGCUUCAUCUGCAUCUGCUCCACAGUCAUUAAUGAUAUAAUGCAAUUUUAAUUAGAUACAGACACCUUUAAACCCCCUCAUGCACCAUGAAAACACAUCAUGUCAGUAGCAUAUACUGUAUAACAUAAUAAAUCCAUACCAGUGCACUUCAACAAAGAAGUUUCUCUGAGUGUCUGAGGAAGCAGCAGCUCCUGCUGACAGUGUACAGAAGAGGCAUUUUGCUCUGCUGUGAGAGAACGGAGUGAAAGGAGCAUUCAUGUCACAGAGACUGAUCUCAGUGCUGCCAUCACAAAAGCAAAAGUAUGGAUUUUGUUUUUAUUUGCAACAAUCUUUAUUAUCUCUUCCAGUUUUGGAUGUGAAAAGAGGCAUUAAUUUUCUUUAAUUAAAUAUCUUUUUAAUAAAGAAAAGCAAAAAAGUAUUUACAAAUUUUCAAUUAAAUGGUAAUCAAUGACUUGGGGUGGAUAAUUACAAGCACCUUCUGCCAGCUGAGGAGAGAAAAUAUAAAUACAGGGGAAAACUGCCACUUUGUUUCAGAGGUGGGGAAAAUUACAUUAGCAUUUUUUUCUUUGAAAAACAAAACAAAACAAAACAAAAAAACUAAAGAAAAAAACAAAAAAAAUCCAUCAUAUAUUUACAGAACUCUCCUGAAAUGCAUUUCCACUCAUGGAAGCAGAAAAGGCCUUAGGAUUCGUACUGUUAAACUCUACUUUUUUAAAGUCCUUUUUCAUUAAAGUGGAUUUUUGAUGUAUACUUUUUCAAGUUUCAAUAAUGAUAUUUUGUCUUUUUAAAAUCCAACAACAGGCUUUGUUAGAGGGUGCAGCCGUGAGCCCUCGCUCUUGCGCUCCCUUUCAGUCCACAGUUUAUUUUUUGAA